CCGUGCCUGCGUGGGUCCUGAGCCCUCUGGGUGGUUGUAGGAAGGGUUUUUGGGGUGCUGGGCUGCUGUGAACCUGAUUGUGAUCAGGUGGAGGAGCAAAGGAAGGGGACGGGGGGGUCAGGGCUCCUGUCUGGGUGCUGAAAGUGGGAAAUGUGGCCCAGGAGCUUCCUGGGACACCCAACCCCAUGAACGUCGUGUUUCCUGUCUUUGCUGGAGCAAGGAGGCAUUUUGUGCAGCAGAGGCUGUGCAGGGAUGGGGCCUCCUCCUGCGGUGCCGAUGUUUAUCUGCCAAUGCAGAGGGCGAUUACACCGUGACAUUUAUGUGCUUCUAGAGGAAAAGCAGCUCCCUUCAAUUACAGUGAUUAACAGCCAGGUUUACGUGCUGCUCCCACAUCUGAAACUUUUCCACGUUGCCUUUGUUCGGGUUGCUCUGCGUCCUGCUGUCUUCCAGGGUGGCUGGAAACAGCAUCGAGGAAAUCCCCGCUGCAUUUCCCCUCCGUUCUCACCCGAGCUGUGCCUUGGGUGCUGUGCCUGAGGAGCAGGAAAGCAGCUGAAUAUUGCCAAAGCCUGGAUGUGGGGAUGGGAGAACAGGGACACGGGGGGACCAGGGCUGGCAGCUGCCCCGUCCCCAUCCCGGCAGCUGGGGAAACUCCAGGGCAUCUCCACCAGCCUCCUCCGUACCCCCUCCUGCCUGCUCCUGGCCUUGCUCCGUGACUAUCCCUUGGGUCAGGAGUGGGUUCCCUGCCCUGAAUCAUCUCCUUCUCGCUGUCUUCAUCGCAGCCUGUGCUGUGUCAUCUCUCCCUGCUCUUUAUUUAAUAGAGUGCAGGCAGCCAAGGCAGCGCUGAGCUGAAGCUGCUGACUCCUGCGUGGUGCUGAGGAGCAGGAGCUGUGAUUCCUUCCCGGUGCUCGCAUGCUAUUUCCAGCUCAUUGUUGCCCCUGUUCCUGCCUCUCCUGUGACGCCAGUCCCCCGUGCAUUGAGAAUAAUCCCCGCAGGGGCUGGGGGGCUGGCAGACAGGCUGGUUUCAGCCGAGCUUUGCAGCCCCUUCCUUUUCUCACGCUGGCUGGCACGCUGCACGACUGCCCAGGGCUUUUCUGGCAUGGCAGCUGGGCUCGUUCUCUGCGUGAGCUGCUGAGGCAGACCGGGAGCUGCAGGAUCAAUGGAGACGCACUGAAAGGUACCGCGGGGUGCCGCGCCGUGCCGGGGGGAUGGAGGGGCUAUGGUGCAGAUGCGGUGGUUUUGGGGAGCUUUGCUCUGCUCCCGGCUGCCUGCAGCUCUGUCAGGGGAAGGAUGGUGACCACACUUCAUGCCUCUGCACCUCUCCACUCUGUUUUGCAGCCUAGGCACCUCCCCGCGGGCAGGGAACCCAUGCUGGUGCCAUGGAGGUCGCCAACAGCAGAGAUUUCCAGUGGAAAACCCUCGCCCCGCUGCCCAGCCGCAGGGUCUACUCCACCCUGGUGGAGGCUGGCGGGCAAGUGUUUGCCAUCGGGGGCUGCGAUGACAACGGGGUCCCCAUGGACUGCUUCGAGGUCUACUCCCCCGAGGCCGACCAGUGGACGGCGCUGCCCCCCAUGCCCACGGCCAGGGCCGGGGUGGCGGUGGCCACCUUGGGCAAGAGGAUCAUGGUGAUAGGGGGGGUCGGCGUGAACCAGACGCCGCUGAAGAUAGUGGAGAUGUACAACGUGGACGAGGGCAAGUGGAAGAAGAGGAACUCGCUGAGGGAAGCGGCCAUGGGCAUCUCGGUG
rnacentral:lncRNA from 1 species